GGAAACAGAACAACCUUUCCGACGUCCAAUCAACCCACUUUACGGGAAGCUGGAGAAUACUUUGGAGAUCCAAUUAUCUCCAUGACAACGGAGCCUUGCCAGCGGUGGAGAGGGGGGGGCGCCACAACUGGUCUCCUUGGAAACCACGCACAUCACUUAAGCCCAGCGUCCGCCCCCUUCGCCCUGUGGCGUGUGAGGGGGGCUCUUUAAUUGGCUGAAAUUCUGCCGCUGGGCUUGACCCCUCCUCCCUGACGAGGAAUCAUUCGCUCUUAAAGGUGGGAGAUUUGGAUCUUCUGAAGAAAUGGAGUCGUUGGAAGGCGACCUCCUGCGUGUUCAGGAACUGAACACAGAGGUGUUCUAAUAAUAUUAGGUUUAUUAGUGGUUUACAUUAGAGUGCUCAAAAACAAAAGCCAGCUGGUAUGUAGGGGGGGAACCCCAAGACCUGGACUGAAAACCCCAGCUCUAGGAAGAAUAUCAGAAAGGGGCAUUGGAGACCCCCCCCACCCCCAAAUGAACCCCCUGGAGGAAUGAGGGAAUAUGGCUGAGAUGCUCCGGUUGUGUGGCGUGGACACGUCUGGGGUGGUCUCUGCAGAGGUGGUGGGCCUGUGGUUAGCAGGUUCCUGCGCGGCUCGCUCUGACGAGCUGUGAUCCUCGCCCAGCUCCCCCGGCUCUUUGAUGCGGUGCCCUCCGCGCAAGACGCCUGCCCCCCCCCCCACCACCCCCCCCGCGCGCACCCCGUCGCAAGCCGACACGAACAGCGCCUCGCUGUGGCCGGGUUCACCCCCCCCGCGGGCGGACUGGGGGCCCCCCCCCGACCUUUCUGACCAUCCUGGGGGAAGCCCAGUGCCUGUGAGAGACAGUUCCACGCCACGCGCUCUCUGUGGGCCUGCGUCGACUGCUCCAGAGGCCACCCCCGCCUCGACGGCCGCAGCUGUCCUGCCAGAUGCCCGAGCAGGUGGGCAGAGGGAGGGACUUCUCACGUCGUUGCUGAUCUGACCAGUAACAGGAGACACAUCUGUACAGUAUACAGAAGUUUUGGGUGGUGGGGGGUGUGGAACAAGCCGCCCAGGCAUGUUGUUGAAAGGGAUCAUCUGGCAGCUUCCAAAGAGCAGCUGGAUGAGAUCCUCCAGGCAGGACCGGAGACAUGUCUUUACACUAAAGGUGGGGGGUGUGUGGAACAAGCCGCCCAGCCACGUUGUUGAAGGUGAUACUCUGGCUUCUUUCAAAAAAUGUCUGGGUGAGAUAAUCAAUUACCACCUACUAGCACAUGGCCUCCUCUCGUGUGUAACCCUUCUUAAGUUCUUAUGAAUCCAAGUCCUCUAGCCCUGUGCUGAAUCCAGCUCCGUGUGAUCCCUGAAUCAAUGGAUUUGAGGAGGAAUACUUGCAGCUACUUGCAGCCACACAGCCUCGAUGGAAUCACAGACCUCCUCUCGCGUUGCGAGCUCCUGCGAGGAGACCAGGCCUCCUCCCCGCUCAACGACUCCGACGAGCCCCUGCGGAUCGGAUCGGGCCCGUGGUCCGGACGGGAACGCUGGCAGAGCAGCUGCAGAUCAAGAUCCCGGACAGCGUCAUUGGAGCUGGAUUUGAACGGCGCUCUGAUCGGACUUGGCUGGCAAGAAAAAUCUAACGGCUUGGCAGUGCGUCCGAGAUGUACUGUGCUGGUCCUGCUGGGCUGGAGUGUCCGUUUGGAAGAGAAGCUGUUAAAUUGGUCCCGUUCAGCCAGCAGCUUUUGCUCACUAAGAGCUGAGCUGGACUGGGAAACCACAGACCCACUAGUCCUCCAGCACUGGGACGGGGACGGGAGUGGACAGCCCUGUUCUACAUUCCAGCAUUUUCUGUUUCAAGGUGAGAAUGCUGGUUCUUAAUAAAGUCAAAGUAAGACAAUAGAAUUAUACUCUUCCCCAGUCUACAAGAGCGGUGGCCCUGUGGCUCAGGAUCUGCGCCUGUGGC